GGAAAAUAAAUUAAUUCAAAAGAGCUAUCAGGCUACAUUUGCUUCAAGAACAGGACCAAAUAGUUUGUAGAACUGUAAGCAGAUGGAAAUAUACUUGGUCCAGCACAGGUUGCAAUGACAGUACCUUCAAUGACAGAGAAGCUAUGCAGCCCUCAUGCCAUUGAAGUUGAUAGGGAACUCAACCC
rnacentral:lncRNA from 1 species